AGAUCAGCCCUGGGGUUCAGAGGGAUCCUGACAGCUACUCCUCAAGAUCCUCUCUGUUGUGAUUCAUCCCCCCGGGGCCCUACAGUUUCUCCUUCCUGACUCUUACAUUUCUUUGGAUGGCAUCAUUAUUUACCUGUCUCCUCCCAUAGUUAGGUGCCAAGCACUGUGGAUUCUGCCUCUCAGUGUCCAGACACCCAUUUUCCUUCCCACUGUUCCUUCCCCAUGGAGAAGCCUGUGGCUGGCUGACAGCAGAGAGAGAUGCUCAACUUGGAGAAGGUGUUACCUGGGCCAGCCUAUUCAACGUGAAAAAGAUGAGGAUGAAGACCUUUAUUAUGAUCCACUUCCAAGUAAUGAACACACUGGAGAAAGUCAGACAGUCAAAACAAUGUCCCAGACUCCGUGAAGUUCCUGGGUAGAGAAGGAGACAGACAUAUACCAUACCUAAUAAUUGGAUGUCCGAGAGAAUGAGAGAAUGGCAGAAAGAACUUUAGAGCAUGGGUAUGAUGGCUAGAGCUUGAGCAGCCAUUGUGGACAUCAGAUGAACUUGAAAGUGAAAACUAUGAGCUGAAUACGACAAAGCAAACAGAUAGAAAACUGGAUUCAUUAUGACAUUGCAAAGCUGCCAGACCAGCUCUAGUCUGCUUCCCCCUAAUCUUCCUUACUAAGAGAGAGAAAUAAACUUCCAU
ensembl:lncRNA MYO3B-AS1 MYO3B antisense RNA 1